rnacentral:lncRNA from 1 species
UUCUAAUAUAUGUCCUUUGGUAUAAAUAUGUACACAAUUUCCUUGAACAUGCAAUCACUGGGUCAUGGUUCAGUUUUUAGUAAAAACUUUCAAAUAGCAUUUAACUGAUUUUGUCAUCAGGAAGACCCCAAGACCUUCCCUGCCACAUGCAUGUACCCACUGACCUUCGUCCUACAUUUUCCUUAAGUUCUUCUGUCUAGCUUAUCUUUUAACUCAGGCAAAAGACCCAACGGGCAAAGCAUGUGGUGAUAGAAACUGAAACUAUGCCCUCAAACAAUAGCAAUUACCCUGAUGAAAAGCUCUGGCCAGUUCAGACCAUCCAGACCAGUUUGAGCUCAAUUACCGACUCACAUCACCACAGAUGGACCAUGGAAUGAUGGACCUAUUACCUCUUUCUCAUUAUAAUGCUAAAAUCUCCACCAGAGUUGGAGCAUGAACCUCAUUAACAUAAUAUACAUGUUUCUGUCAGAGGCAUGGGUGACCUUAUGCUUACUUCUACAAAAAUGACCAAACUCCUUUUCUUGAGUAUUCACCCUAACCCUAAAUAAAAGGAACAUAUUCACCUUUGCUCUGAAAGUCAUGGGCUUUGGAAGUUAAUCCCCUUGAUCUCCUUAUUUACAGCAAAUAAGGUUUCCUUUUUUUGUGACACCUCCACCAGGUGUAGUCUGUACCUGUAAUUCACCAAGGAGCAAAUUCAUGUUAGUAAAUUAUACAAUUAAUAAUAAUUAACUUAAUAUGUUAUAUGAUGAAUAAUUAAAUUAUUAGCUUAUUUAAUUAAUUUACAUUCCUACCAGCUAUUUCUGACAGAGCUGUUUGCCUUACAUUGUCAUCAUUAUUCUCAAUCUUUCCUUUUAAUUUUGCUAUAUUAGUGGCUAUACGUUAGCAUUGUAGUUCAAAGUUAUGUAACUUUGAUGAUUAAUGAUGUGCAAGACACUUUGUCUGAAAUAAAUAUUAGACAUGCAUAUAGAUGGUCAUGUCUCUUCUGCUGUUCUUGAAUGUGAGCAUUGGGUGAACGUCAUCAGUGCUUAAGCUGGGUUUGGGUUUUACUAUUAUGGGGAUCUUCAAUGGGCCAGUAGCUUUCAAUUUCAGCUGAGUUAACUUAUACUGAGGGUAUGGGAUGCUACACUAGAGAGUAUUAUACCCCAGGUUCCUCAUCUAUCAUAAAUUAUGGGGUUUUUUGUGCACCUGAGCCCAGAGGAAAGGACAAGUUUCAUGUACCAUAAGGGCAGAGGAUAAGAAACCUGGGAUGUGGGCGACCACGAGCUAGCUGGAGUAACUGAACCAAACCAGGCCCAGACUUGCAUCCCUCAUUCACUCAAAAGGCUCGAGAGCCUAAAGGGUGAAUAGUUGGUAGACGCUUGAGAAAGGGCUUGAGCAAUGGUUCUCAGGGCUCGCUUGUAUGUGAUCGCCCACAUAACACAAUAGAUAAAACUUAUUCUGACCUGGUCAUAAAUGUAAAUAAGGGUCUGUCUGUCCUUGCUGGUCUGUUUACCAUACCUAAUAUUCCUUUGAAGUAUGUACAUCUGGAGCAACAAGCUUAUCUAUUUACCAAGGUCUUCUGGCACCCAUGAGUCUGUCUUGCAUGCUGAGAAAGGGGAACUUUGGAGAGUUUCACAAACCUGCUAAAAAUAAACACCUUCUUGGCUUUGUUUUGCUCAUGCUAUAAAAUGUUGUAAAACCUUGAGUAAAGCUGGCACUGCUUGGACAUCAUCCACUGUGUCCCUCCUGUCCCCAUCUCUUUACUUUUCUUUUAUUUUCCUCAUCCCCUUAUCCUCAGGACCCUGAUCGUGUUGCCGCAGCACGCGCAACACUGGGAUUAUAUUACUAUAGUUGGACUUCAUGGAAAGUCAAGGAUAAUACAUAAAUAGGCUGCACAGACUAGAUGUAAAUAAAAUUGUCCAUAAAAGCUCUUCAAAGCAGUCAUCCAAUGCACCCUCAAUCCUCCUCUGCCAUUACAUCUAGACUUUUACAAUGAACACCAAACCUCAUCCUCUUCUACUUAUAUCCUUAUUCAAGCCCUUGCUUCACUUUACUCAAAAUGCCUGUGUAGCCCUGAUUUUGAUUACCGUGUAAAUUAGUAUUUCACAUUGCUCUUGAGAACCUUGAGGUUUUGGAAUAUUUCCAUAGGUUUUUUUGAACUGUUUUUCCUCUAACAACUGAUUACAAUACCAUACUGUGCAUAUGUGCAUAUUCAAUUCCAGUUCCCCAAAGUGUAAAAGUGAGAGGGGCUUAUCAGUGAUUAGUGUGCUCAUAUAAUUCUCCCAAGCCAGAAAAAGAAAUCAUGGAUGUAUGAUAAGCAAUAUACAACAGAAUAAAGAAAAGAAUAAAGAAAGAGGGAAAAAUGGAGAAAAAUCAAAAUUCUGAAAACUAUAGGAAUUUUAGUGAACUGAUCUGAAUCUUUAGAAUGUUAGAAGAUGUGGUCUCCAUGAAAUGGAGACACAAAGACAAAAUCAGGCUGUGGUAUAUUUCCCACUAGAUGGGGUUAAAAGUAUAUGGAUCAUGUUAGAAAAGCAUUGCCAAGAACCUAAAAAGUCAGAAAGAUUAAAAUCCCCAUUAGAGGCAGUAAUGACUUCAGCUCACCCCGAUCUUCUCUCGCAGUGCAUCAUUUCAAUCCCAGUUGCUACUGACAUUCCCCAAGAUGAGAGUUUGUUUGACUCAGGUUAUCUUUCUCAGGAGGCCUCACCAUAAAUUCAGGCCAGUGUGUGGAUUAAAUGCUCUUCCCUCAGCCAUUCACCCUCACUUUAGUCACCGUGGCCAGAGAGAGUGGAUUUAUGAGUUUAAAAACCACAUCUACUGCUGCCUCUUCAGAGGAGCUUCCUGUGACUUUAUUCUCUUAAAAAUGGGCUGAGGGAAGACAUUACAUUAGCAUUUGCAAUAACAUCACAAAGCAUUAUUCAUGUAGUAGUUUGUUUAUCCUGGAAAUGUCUAUGAGUACGAGCCUCUUCAGAUUGGAGAGGAAAAAAAAAAUUGAGAACAAAGAGUGAAAACAUUUGCUUUCAAUCAUAUGCUCCUUAGGAGAAAUAUUAAAAAUAAGCAUCCUCUCACUGGGAAAUGACAGUUUAGCCUCAUUUUCUCCUGCUUUUCUUUAUAAGCUAAAUGAGAAUUUAUUACACACAUGAGUGGAUAAAAUAUUUUGAACUAACAUUGCUCAAAGGUUCAACAUAACAGAAUCAAACCUGCUCAUUAGAUUUCACUGUGAUAACUGUAUUGUUAAGGCCUAUCCUCCUUGGAUUAUCAUAUACAGUCCUUAUGACUUAUGUUCAAUAUCCUGACAGACAAAAAGUGACAAAGGAAAAAAAAACUCCUUAGGAUUGAUAAGAAGACAUAUGUUUAUCUGUCAAUGCCUUGUAGCCUUCUUUUCUAUCUUAUAUUUUUUUGUCUUUUUCUUUCUCUUUUUCAAGUGUUCAAGAUACUUACCAAUGGUAUAUAGCUACGGUUCAACUGUUAUAUUGCUCUGCAUAUUCUACAACCACAAUUUAUUCAUUUAUUCCAAUGGUGAUGAACAUUUGGGUUGUGUCCAAUUUCUGGUAAUUCUAAAUGAUGAUUCUAUGUGUUUUCUCAUACAUGGUUUCCAGAUUAGAGAGGCACUUCUUUUUCUAGGGUCUACAGCUGGAAGUAGAAUUGCUAAAUUGUAGGAUAUAUGCAUAUGGUGAACUUUUGUAGAAAUUGCCAACCUGUUCUCCAAAAGUCUUGUCUGAUUUGCCUGGCAUCCAGCAGUGUAUAAGUGUUCUCACAGACCCACAUCCUCACCAAUAUGGAUAUUGGCAGACUUUAGUGUUAGCCAACCAAUCUGUGAUGUAAGAAGGAACAUCACAGAGUGGCUUUGAUUUACUUAUGUCUGGUUACUAAAGAUGUUGAGUGCCUUUUCACACAUUCAUUGUCCAUUUGGCGUCCAUCUUUUGUAAGGUUCCCAUUUAUUCACUUGCUUUUUAAAAUUUAUCUCAUUGAUUUGUGAAGUUCUUCAUAUAUUCUAUAUAAUCACUAUUCUCUAUCUUUUCACAACGUUUAUGGGUUCCUAAUUUUAAUGUAUAUACAAUAUGUUAAAGUUUUCCUUG